GCCCGCGGCGGGCGGGAGCCGAGGCGCUGCGGCGGCGGCGGGCGGGGGGGCUCCACGCGCCGCUUCGUGCCCCCCCCCCCAAUCCUCCUCCUCCUCUUCCUGCUCCCCUUUCUCCGCCGCCACCGGCCCGCGGCCCUGCACCAUCGGCAGGCCGGGCCGAGCCGUGCCGGGGCUCCGGGCACAGCCCCGAGCAGAGCCCGCAGCCCUGCCGCCGCGCCCCCGCCCGCCUGUCUGUUUUCCCUUUGUACUUUCCAUCCCGCUGUACCCCCCAUCUCCUCAUCCCAUAACGUUUUUUUUUUUUUUUUUUCCACAGGAAUAAUGUGUUAAUCAAUCUUUUACUUUUGUUUCCGGAUCUGACAUGGUGGCCCACACAAUCUACAACAUUAACAAAAAGGUCACUUAGAGAUAAAACACGUUUGACAAGUGAAGAACAAGGCAAGUGCUUUAGGGGUCGCGUCCAAUUCCUGACCUGGACUCCGACCAGAACAGGCGCUGAUCCUGGAAGGGGUGGGCGAGAGGAAGGACUUCCACUUUCUCGCCUUUAUAUCUGCUGAACCAAGUCCCUUUUCUUCCCUCGAAACACCGAUCUCCCCCAGCCCCUUAGCAGAUGGAUCAGAUAGCCUUUAAUGAUCUUCUCUCCUUACGAGGUAGACAUAAGGCACGUUUUCCUAGAUAUCCUCCCCACCCCCCCGUAAAGCGGUACCCUUUAAAUCCUGCAGCCAAAAAGUUCAUAUGCUCAAUGGAUGACAAAGUAAGGCUGCAGUAUGAGAGUGCGAAGAGUUUUUUUCCAGACCAGCUUCAUUCAGGUGUCCUACAUUAGUCAAGACUGUGAAGAAAUUCCAGAAUUUUUGGGAAGAAAAUAUGGACAUAUGGCAAAAAGGCUAGAUCUUAGCUUCAAUUUGUUGAGGUGUCUUCUCUCACUUGAUAUCAUGGUACCUGCCAACUGUAUGUUUCUACAGCACCUAAAUGUACCUUCGGCUUUUCUUUAAAUCAAUAGAACAGUUAACUGCUUUCAGUACAUCGUUGUAGAACUUGUUCUCAAAUAUGCAAGUUUAUUGCAAAUCCUUUGUACGUGGUGCAUCUGCUGUCCACUUGAUAUGUCAGAAGAAUUCAUGUUGAGGAAAAGUAUAUGCAUACUUGAAGAGUGGAGAGGGAUGAAAAUUAGUAUGUUGCUGUUCUCUCCUUGUUACAGCUGAUAGGUCUAAUACAAAAAAAGAAGUGCAUGCUACAGUCAUGAACUCUAAAAUAACAAGGCUCAGGAGUUUUUAUGUUGCAUAAGCAGACAAGUGAAGUGUAUUUUAUGUUCCUGUAGAGCAGAAAAGUAAAUACUGUGAUAUUUACUAUAGUUUCUCUGUGUUGAUAAGCCCUAUCAGUAAUAAAAGUCUCAAAGUUAAUUAAACUUAAUCUUUA
rnacentral:lncRNA from 1 species